rnacentral:rRNA from 1 species
UGAACUCCAGCUUGCUGGGGGGAUUAGUGGCGAACGGGUGAGUAACACGUGAGUAACCUGCCCUGGACUCUGGGAUAACCCCGAGAAAUCGGAGCUAAUACCGGAUAGGACCCUGGAAGGCAUCUUUUGGGGUGGAAAGUUUUUUCGGUCUGGGAUGGACUCGCGGCCUAUCAGCUUGUUGGUGAGGUAAUGGCUCACCAAGGCGUCGACGGGUAGCCGGCCUGAGAGGGUGACCGGCCACACUGGGACUGAGACACGGCCCAGACUCCUACGGGAGGCAGCAGUGGGGAAUAUUGCACAAUGGGCGCAAGCCUGAUGCAGCAACGCCGCGUGCGGGAUGACGGCCUUCGGGUUGUAAACCGCUUUUAGUAAGGAAGAAGGGGAGCUUGCUCCUUGACGGUACUUGCAGAAAAAGGACCGGCUAACUACGUGCCAGCAGCCGCGGUAAUACGUAGGGUCCGAGCGUUGUCCGGAAUUAUUGGGCGUAAAGAGCUCGUAGGCGGUUUGUCGCGUCUGCUGUGAAAUCCCGAGGCUCAACCUCGGGCCUGCAGUGGGUACGGGCAGACUGGAGUGCGGUAGGGGAGAAUGGAAUUCCUGGUGUAGCGGUGGAAUGCGCAGAUAUCAGGAGGAACACCGAUGGCGAAGGCAGUUCUCUGGGCCGUAACUGACGCUGAGGAGCGAAAGCGUGGGGAGCGAACAGGAUUAGAUACCCUGGUAGUCCACGC